ensembl:lncRNA
GGAGGGGCUGCAGUAGCCUAAGGUUCAGAGGGGGAGGGGCUGCAGUAGCCUAAGGUUCAGAGGGGGAGGGGCUGCAGUAGCCUAAGGUUCAGAGGGGGAGGGGCUGCAGUAGCCUAAGAUUCAGAGGGGGAGGGGCUGCAGUAGCCUAAGGUUCAGAGGGGGAGGGGCUGCAGUAGCAUAAGGUUCAGAGGGGAGGCGCUGCAGUAGCAUAAGGUUCAGAGGGGGAGGGGCUGCAGUAGCCUAAGGUUCGGAGGGGGAGGGGCUGGUAGCCUGCACACACAUUGGCUAAAAUGUUCAGCUGGCAGGCAGACACUGGAAUACGUUUCUGUUUGACAGAGUGAGGGAUUUGCAAA